rnacentral:rRNA from 1 species
CGAAGGGGGCUAGCGUUGCUCGGAAUCACUGGGCGUAAAGCGCACGUAGGCGGACUCUUAAGUCGGUGGUGAAAUCCUGGAGCUCAACUCCAGAACUGCCUUCGAUACUGAGAGUCUCGAGUCCGGGAGAGGUGAGUGGAACUGCGAGUGUAGAGGUGAAAUUCGUAGAUAUUCGCAAGAACACCAGUGGCGAAGGCGGCUCACUGGCCCGGUACUGACGCUGAGGUGCGAAAGCGUGGGAGCAAACAGGAUU